ACUAAACUCAAAUGUGUUAUUACACACACGUAUCGGCACAUACUCCGGGGUGCUUUGGCCUGGUCACAGGCAGGGUCGGCUGUAUGGGAUACGUGGAGGCAUAACC
rnacentral:sRNA from 1 species